rnacentral:rRNA from 1 species
UACCAGCACCCCGAGUGGUCGGGACGAUUAUUGGGCCUAAAGCGUCCGUAGCUGGCUUGUUAGAUGCCUGGGUAAAUCGAUGCGCUCAACGUAUCGAACUCCGGGUAGACCGGCAAGCUUGGGACCGGGAGAGGCGUGAGCUACUCGAGGGGUAGGGGUAAAAUCCUGUAAUCCUUCGGGGAGGACCAGUGGCGAAGGCGUCACGCUAGAACGGCUCCGACAGUGAGGGACGAAGCCCUGGGGCGCAAACCGG